AAGAAAGUUGCGCUCGGCUGAUAAAAAAGCAGGGCUUAAGCGCGAGGGGACAAUGCAAAACACUGCUGCUGAAGGAAAAGCCUUCCUGAAGAGGUCCAAGAAAGGCAACUAGACAAUCCCACACUACAUUACUAACACAAGGCAGGGCUUGGUAACUGUUCAAAUACGACAAGGCAGAGUAUUAACUUGUCUUGGAGUAUUAUACAUUAUGGCAGCAUUUUUCCUUUCUAUUCAGUUUGAUAGAGGUAUAAUAUUUCUAUACGAUUUUGGAAUGGAAACAUCAAUUUUUAUGCAUGAAUAUGUCAAAAAUUUGAGAAAUGCUUUGGUUUUCGAAUUGUAAAGACCACAAUAUUUUUCCACUGUCUAAACUUUACUGCCAUUGGUUCCUAUAUUAGUAUGCCAAUUGUACUCAAUACAUCUUUAGAUUCCAAUAUGGUUGAGAGCUAGGAUAUGGGCAUAUGUCAAUCUCCAUUAAUCAUCUUAAUCCUCAUUCAUUUCUCUUCAUGGUACAAAAGUUCUUGAAUUUCACACUUGUGUGUUUGUAUUUAGUUUGAGAGUCUGUUGACAUGUACUUUAAAAAGUAUAACAGCUUUUCAAUUUCUAGUACUCUAAUUUGUCCUCCUACCCUAAUUUGUAUUGAAGCUCUUUUUUCCUCUUGAUUUUAAAUGAAAUGUUUAGUACAUGAUAAAUCUGGUUUGCUUCAAAUUCACUCUGCCACUAGAGUAUUUAUUGUUCUUUUAAUUUUUAAUGAUUUUGACUUUUGUAAUUUUCUGGGUUCUUUAUACAUGGAUACUUGAUAAGUGUUAGUUGGUUUUAAAGCCACAUUAAAAAUUGAAUGUGUGUUGUACAAUUUGUCAGAGACAAGACUGUGACUUUUCUACUCUGUUAGAUAUUUUUGUUAGUGUAAUGAAGAUGUAGGCUUUACAAGUUAGAUAAUAAAUAUAGACUUAAAAUAUAUUAAUUUUGAACAUAUUUAUAUGGGCUAUUUUUGUUGUUGAUGUUGUUUUGUAUACACUGUUAUUAUCAAAUUCUAGAUUUUUCCGGUCAAUUUUAAUGUUUUCAUAUUCAAGCAAGGUCUAAAGAUACAUACUGGUAGGUCCAAGCAUGGAAUCUACUUAUGUCAUUUUGGGACCAAUAUUAAAACUUACCCUUUCCUAUUUUUUUUUAAUCACCCCAUCUGUGAUUGUAUUUGUUAGUGUAGUGCCAUGAACAAUGUCUGUGUUAUUUUAUUAUAAUGGAUAUUUUUAUUUUUAAAAAUCUAAUUUUUUUUUAUGUUUGUAUUAUGGAUUGCUGUGUUUUAAGCGCUGAUAAUCUGACAAAAUCAAAGCACAUCAAACAAUUUUUUACCAACUGGCAGAGAUAGGAUCCUCUUUCUUUCCUGUUGGGAGGUUUUCAAUUCCAAUUUUAGAAAAAAGUGUGUGUGUGUAUAAGAGUGUCCAAUUUUGUGUGUCAUUUUUGUGACCUUUUUGUAGUAACAAUUGUAAUUAUUGAAGUAUAAAGAGGAUUAAAUUUAAAACUG
rnacentral:misc_RNA from 1 species